AUUGCUUCUCAGCCUUUUGGCUAAGAUCAAGUGUAAUAAAAAAGAUAAUUGUCUGAAAUAAUUUAACCCUGUUAAAAUUUCUGGACAAAACUAACAUUUGCAGGCUGGGGGUUUAGGUCAGUGGUGCCACUGUCUGUCUACCAAGUUUGAUCCCCAGUACCAAAAAACAAACAAAACUAA
rnacentral:snRNA from 1 species